GGAGUUAGCCGGUGCUUCUUCUGUGAGUGAUGUCCUUCCUGCCGGCUAUUAACCCGCAGGCCUUCUUCCUCACUGAAAGUGCUUUACAACCCGAAGGCCUUCUUCACACACGCGGCAUGGCUGGAUCAGGGUUGCCCCCAUUGUCCAAUAUUCCCCACUGCUGCCUCCCGUAGGAGUCUGGGCCGUGUCUCAGUCCCAGUGUGGCUGAUCAUCCUCUCAGACCAGCUACGGAUCGUCGCCUUGGUGAGCCGUUACCUCACCAACCAGCUAAUCCGACAUAGGCUCAUCCGAUAGCGCGAGGCCCGAAGGUCCCCCGCUUUCCCCCGUAGGGCGUAUGCGGUAUUAGCCUGGGUUUCCCCAGGUUAUCCCCCACUACCGGGCAGAUUCCUAUGCAUUACUCACCCGUCCGCCGCUCGCCACCAGGAGCAAGCUCCCCGUGCUGCCGCUCGACUUGCAUGUGUAGCUCGCCGCCACGCGUCAUCUGACGCCACUAACUACAACUACUCGA
rnacentral:rRNA from 1 species